CUAAAUACGGGCGAGAGACC
rnacentral:siRNA from 1 species